UGAAGAGCCAACAGAAGCAGCACCCGCUGAUGCUCCAGCCGCAGAACCUGAAGCUGAACCUGCAGUUGAGGUUGAAACCAAGGAGGUUGUAGAAGAACCAGCAAAAACUGAGCCUGAAGAGGUUGCAGCCCCAGCAGCAGAAGAAACUCCUGAGGACAAGCCUGAAGAGACUGUUGCUGAGGAGACUGUUGCUAAGGAGACUGUUGUCGAAGAGACUAAAGAGGAGGCAGCACCGGCUCCUGUUGAGGAAGAGAAGCCAGCAGAAGAAGAGAAGCCAGCUGAGACACCAGCUGCAGAGACAACCACCACAGAAGUUCCUGUGGAGACUAAUGAGUGAAUAAACUGAUUCUAAGAAGUGAUUGAUACUAGUGGGGUGGGGUCUUUGUUUUUCUUUUAGGUUUCACUGUCAAAGUCCUCAGGUUUCUGUUUUGUUUCAUUUCUCUGUUUAUUGAUUUAUGAUUAUGGUUACAGAAAGGGUUUUGGAUGGGAUCAUGGGAUAUGGAAGCUAUAGAGUCGAUACUAAGCA
rnacentral:lncRNA from 1 species